rnacentral:rRNA from 1 species
GACGAACGCUGGCGGCGUGCUUAACACAUGCAAGUCGAACGGAAAGGCCCUGCUUUUGUGGGGUGCUCGAGUGGCGAACGGGUGAGUAACACGUGAGUAACCUGCCCUUGACUUUGGGAUAACUUCAGGAAACUGGGGCUAAUACCGGAUAGGAGCUCCUGCUGCAUGGUGGGGGUUGGAAAGUUUCGGCGGUUGGGGAUGGACUCGCGGCUUAUCAGCUUGUUGGUGGGGUAGUGGCUUACCAAGGCUUUGACGGGUAGCCGGCCUGAGAGGGUGACCGGCCACAUUGGGACUGUGAUACGGCCCAGACUCCUACGGGAGGCAGCAGUGGGGAAUAUUGCACAAUGGGCGGAAGCCUGAUGCAGCAACGCCGCGUGCGGGAUGACGGCCUUCGGGUUGUAAACCGCUUUCGCCUGUGACGAAGCGCGAGUGACGGUAAUGGGUAAAGAAGCACCGGCUAACUACGUG